GCCUGGGUGGCUCAGUCGGUUGAGCAUCCGACUUCAGCUCAGGUCACGAUCUCACGGUCCGUGAGUUUGAGCCCCGCAUCAGGCU
rnacentral:tRNA from 1 species